GAGAUUACUCUGACACCAAUGUUGCUAACUAAAACAAAACAAUCAUCUGGCAUUUCUUGUUGCUCAAGACCCCUUAAUUUACUUUAAUAUUUACACUCUAAACUAAUAAUAUUCCUUGAGUCGGCAGUUACAAUCUGUUAGGUGAUCACCAUGGUCCUAUUAAAGACUUGGACCUCAACAGAACAAGAUCCCUUAACAGAUUAGAUCAAAGUGGAAGGACUUAUAAAGACAUAGGGUACAGACUAACAGACAAAAAUGAAAUGCCUGGACACAUAGAGACCUUGCACAUGAAACUAAAAGAAGCACAGGACCAGAUCAAAAGCUUGGACAUUCUCCUCACGGGGGCCAACAAACAAAAGGAUAUGUUUGAACAAAAUUAUAAAGUCUUGGAACAGAAGUUGUCUUCAUGUAACAAAAACCUGAAAGAGCUAGAAAGUAAAAAGAACAAAUUAAACAAAGCCAUUUCAGAAUUGCAGAAGGAAAAUACAGAUUUGGAAAGCAAAAGAGCCAGCGCUGAACAUGAGAGCCAUGCUAUUUCUGCUCAGCUGGAAAAGGAAAAGAACAUUGUAAAGAAUCUACAGAAAGAAUGCUCGUCACUUCAGUCUUAUGUCUCUAAACUUCAGAAUGAGGUGAAAGAACUAGAAUCCGAGAAAAUCAAAUUAGCAAAAAUCAUUUCAAAGUUGGAAAACACUAAAGCUAAUUUGGAGAAAGAUAGGGAUGCCAUGUCUUCUUGUUUGAAUGAGGAAAAAGAAAGGUAUAAGAAAGAAUGUGCCACUUUGAUGUCAACAAUAAUACAGUUGCAAAGGGAGGGGAAAAUCUAUGAUGAGGAAAACAAUCAAAUGGACAGAACAAUCCAAGAGCUAGUGACAAUGAAUGCCAGUCUAGAGAAAACUAAAGAUAUCAUUGCUACUCAGCUUGAAGCCGAGAGAGACAAGUCACAGAAAGAGUUAAAAUCAUCCAUAUCAGUAUUACUAGAGGAAUCAGAGGCAGAGAAAGUCAAGUUAAGCAGCAGAAUAACAGAGUUACAGAAAGAGACUUUAGAAUUGGGAAAGAAAUUAGAAAAUACUGAGCAAGAGUUUCAAUCUGUUUCAUCCCAACUUUUGGAAGAAAAGAGUUCAGUCAGCACUAUCAAAGAAGAAUGCUCAGCAAUGAAUUUUACCAUUUUAAAAAUGGAGAAUGAAAUAGCAGAUUUCAAAAACUGAAAAAAUUAAUUUAGUCCAAGGCAGAGAAAGACCAUUUGAAAGCUACCAUAUCAGAAUUACAGAACGACACCAUAGAAUUAAAAGAGAAAUUAGAUUACACUAAGCAAGAGUGUCAAACUGUUUUGUCUCAACUGCAUAAAGAAAGGGAGUCUCUAAACUCAUACAAAUUAGAAAACUCACAGAUGAAAUCAACUAUUUUGAAUAAAGAGAAAGAAAUAGCAGAUUUGAAAGCUGAAAUUAGAAAUCUAGCUAAUACUUUAGUGGAAUCAGAAUACAUUAGAAACGACCUUGAGAAAGGCUUAGCUAAUGAAAGGGAACAAUUCAAGAAAGAAUGCUCCGUUUUGAACUCAUCAGUAGCAGAACUGACGCAGAAGCUUGAGCACUGUGAGAAUGAGAGAAGUAACUUGAAUCAAACAAUACAGAGCUCAAGACUAUAUUGUCCAUUUGGAAAAAGACAAGGAGGCUUUGUCAUCACAGCUGGAAGAAAACUGGAAACUGAUUAAAAAAAUAGAGCCUUUCAGAGAUGUCUUGGAUAAUUUUCAAAUGGAAAAAAAAUUCUUGUUGGAAACAGACAAAUAUACAAGUGAGCAAAUGGAAAGAUUGACCAAAGAAGCCAUUAAAAACAUGGGUCAUCAAAACCAUCGCCAGAAAGUCAAAUAUGUGAAGACUUUAAAAAAGAUUGCUCCGGUGAUUGCUACUGCACAAUGCGACUCUUCCAAAAUGACACAAGACACCUGGCAAACCAAGAAUUCCUUUUAAAGGAAAAUAAAUGCUCUCUGAAUCUGAGUGCAUGUGCCCAGUAUGCAUUAGCUUACUCAUCCAGCCUGUAACGUUUCCCUGCAAUCACUCACUGUGUUUAAAAUGUUACAAGGAAACAGUGGAAAAAUCCAACCUCUCAUGUCCAGUCUGCAGGAAGCGCAUUUCAGUUUGGGCCAGAAAAGCUGCCAAGGAAAAUAAAUUGAUAAACAUGGAAAAGUGGACAGACAUCCAAGAGGCCUUCCCUGAAAAAGUGAGGCGCAGGCUGGAAGCCAGUGAAGAAAGCGACAGUGAAGAUGAUGAAGAUGAUUUUGAAGCCAAGGAAAGACGACAAAUUUCCUGUCCUGGAGAAAUCAGACAAGAAUAUGAAGCUGCUAUCCAGCAG